rnacentral:rRNA from 1 species
GAUGAACGCUGGCGGCGUGCCUAAUACAUGCAAGUCGAGCGAACGGACGAGAAGCUUGCUUCUCUGAUGUUAGCGGCGGACGGGUGAGUAACACGUGGAUAACCUACCUAUAAGACUGGGAUAACUUCGGGAAACCGUAGCUAAUACCGGAUAAUAUUUUGAGCCGCAUGGUUCAAAGGUGAAAGACGGUCUUGCUGUCACUUAUAGAUGGAUCCGCGCUGCAUUAGCUAGUUGGUAAGGUAACGGCUUACCAAGGCAACGAUGCAUAGCCGACCUGAGAGGGUGAUCGGCCACACUGGAACUGAGACACGGUCCAGACUCCUACGGGAGGCAGCAGUAGGGAAUCUUCCGCAAUGGGCGAAAGCCUGACGGAGCAACGCCGCGUGAGUGAUGAAGGUCUUCGGAUCGUAAAACUCUGUUAUUAGGGAAGAACAUAUGUGUAAGUAACUGUGCACAUCUUGACGGUACCUAAUCAGAAAGCCACGGCUAACUACGUG